rnacentral:lncRNA from 1 species
CGAUCUUUUUUCUACAGGUUUUGCUGCAGUAAGUAAAUAUUGUUGUAGUCGUACGUUGAUUUAUGUUAAAAGCGUUUUAUAAUGUGCAUUGCGCAAUGUUUCAUUAAUCAUCCCUUAGUUAAUUUCGUUAUUAGUUCUUAUUACAAUGUCUAGGGAAACAUAAUACUUUGUUCUUAUCUGUGUUCAGUUUGUAAACUAAGCUAAUAUUCCUUAAUUUUUGACACUUUCAGUAAGGAAUUACUAAUCACAAAAAAAUAAUCCUAUUUUUGUCUAAAUAAUUUAAUUAGGAAGUAUCCCAUUUAAUAAACAGUAACUUUAACUAUAUAGUUGUGGAAAUGCUAAUUGAUGUUGCAGUCUGUAAUACUGAUUUGUAUUCCUGACAAUUAAUUUUCAAGAAUUAUCCUGUUCGCAGUCCCAGAUGCAGUUGUCCCUGUAUUGUUGAUCAACAAAUCUGGAAAAGAUUUUAUAAUUGUUUUGAAUAAUAGAAAUUUUAACUAUCGUUACUUCAUCUGUUACAUUCAUUAGCUUUUGUUCACUGUCUAUAGAUAUUCAGGUGGUAUUUCUACAUAGGCUGUGAUGCUGGCUAGAAUUCCUGGCUGUGGCUCUGCAUCUCAUGGUAGUUUCUAGUUUGGUGAAAUGGUGGGUUUGUAGAGUGGUGAAUUAUAAGGUGAUAGUUUUUAUAAAUGUUAUGACUUAUGAAUUUAAUAGAAGUUGAAUUUGCUGACAAUUUUUAUUUAGUUGUGGGGGUGAUUUACUCAUUGUUCAGGAGGUUUGAAUGAUUGUAAGUUACUUUUAAUGAGGUCUUUAUCUGCAGGUGGUAGAUAAGAAGUUCAUGUGUAUGAAGAUGGAUGUGGAAAAUUGGUGUUGGCUGCUGUGUGACUGGCUUAUUAACACUAACAAUUACCUGUGCCUGUAUUUUUUCUAGUCCAUUCUACAGGGCUAGGUUGCUCAGUAUCAGGGAAUUGCGAGCACUGAACUGGACUGCCAGGAAAUAGUGUCAUGUAUUUCGAGGAGGCUGUCAACCACGUAGUAGGGGAGCAAUUUAUUAAGGUACAUAGAAAUAGUUCUGUAGGCAAUAAACGUUUUCUAUUUGGUAGGUCCAAAGGGCUACCUGUUCUACAUCUGGCCUAACUAAAGUAGUCAAUGGACGGAGAAUAGCAUCUUUGAUGACGAAGGAUAUGAACUUCGAUUUGAAGCAACAAAUGUUUAACCCGCUAUUAGUGCUGGGUCAUGCACUCUUGAAUAGAUUUGUCUAGAACAUUUUUUAAUGAAUUGUUGGAGCCGAUAUUGCGCUGAUUUUGGUGGUUCCCGGGACGUAAGGUUGAAAUGGGUGCUAAAGGAAUUUGUCCCUUAAAACUUCGUCGACCCCUAUUUUCUAUGGCCCUGUUUCCUCUGACUUGUGAUAAAUUCGCGGUGGUAAAGUCGUUACCUGAUCAGUUGGCUAGAAGUAUGCGAAUGAAUUCUGAUUACGUUAAUUCGCUUACGUGAAAUUUCGUCCUUAGUAAAUGUUAUUUUUCGGUUCUAUUAGCCACCCGAUUGGUAAUAUCCGCGUUUGUCUAUUGUACCGUUUUUGUCAUGUUUAUAAUGUACAUAUGUUGAUAUAUCAAUAAAACAAUUUUAUGAUAA